AGGUCUCAGCUGGGCACUCCUGAGCUCUGUGCUGCAACCUUGGGGCAUUGGGCUCUGUCUUUCGGCCCCUCGGGGUCAGACCCCUGCUGUGUUGGGGGAUCCGAGGUGCUCCCAAACUGCCUGGAAAGCAUUCAGGCGGGGUCGCUAGCAAGAACUCAGGCUGGGCAGCGGAGGAGGCACGGUGCACACACUCCUGCAGGAACAACCAGACGGGGCUUUGGGAGGGGCAGCGUGCAGGGGGUCCCGCAGAACAUAUGCGCCCCAGUCCCGCAGGAAGGACGGCCCUGCUCUCUCUUGGCUCACUGGUGGUGACAGCACUUCCUGGAAUAACGUUGCUUUGGAUUUAACAACAGUUGGGCAAAGGAGGUCGGUAUACAGAUACAGGACAAGAAGAGUGGUGUCAAAGGGAGGCUAAAUCAUUGGUUCUGGCUUCAUCUAAGGAAUUCUUAUGAGAAAUCGAGGGAGAGACUGUCCUGGGAAGUCUGAUGAAAUAUGCAUGAGUCUUCGUUGGAACCGUGGGAGGAAGAAGAGUUUUACCAAUCACCAGUGCUGAAGAAAUCUCUCCUUUCUGUGCAGGAUGAGGGAAUCACUAAAUGGCGA
rnacentral:antisense_RNA from 1 species